UUGAAAUAGAAAGGCACACAAUAUUUCCGCAAUUGACGCGGGGCCGCGAAAGACUACCAGAGUCAUCGUGUCAGCGACACCGUGUUUGCUGAGUUCAACAGCAGAUGACGUCAAAUAAAAUCAACUAAUUAUUCUUUAACAAAAAUGGGAAUACAAUUUGGCAAAAUAAUAUCGAGAGAGUCAAGAGAUUACUGAAUAUAGUAACUAACUGUAGUAAUUACUGAUUAUAUAGUUAAAGUCAGUUUAGCUUAUUAACGUAAUGCUCAGAUGAGCACAGAGAAAACAACAUGACAUUGCAAAUUUCAGAUAACAGAAGGGGAAUUCCCAACAACUGCCAAAGGGAAAAUAUAUUAGCAGUUCUGGGUACAUCAAUAAUAUUCGGGCGAGAGAGAAAACCAUUUCGAAGUUAUAGUAAUAAAGAAUAAUUGAUAAUUAUUAAUACAUAAUGGAGGAAAUUAAUCAUCAAAUAUGCUUUUGUUUUAGGUAUAAGAUUUAUAUAUACCGGUACCGAGUUGCAGUGCUACAGCAAGAAAUAACCGAAUGCUCAGGAUAUUCAAAAUUUUACAUCAACGAAUAGUGAUAUUGACAAUGCCGUUCGCAUUGCAGCAUUGUUUUUAUAUUUUGGAAACAGUGCAAAAAGAAACAAAUGAAGACAAUAUAGGUGUUUUGCAGUAUUCAUCUUUUCACAAAUCUGAAGCAGAUAGUCCAAACAAAGGCCAAAUUACUGAGAGAUAUAAGCAUCAAGUGUUUACUCUCGAUUGAAGAAUAUCAGAAGACUUGUCACUAUCAAGAAGAUUUGUGUCGUCAGCGAAGAGUUUGGAAAAAAGUGUGGUGCUUCGAGAAAGGUCAUUGAUGAAGAUAAGAAACAAAGUCGGUCCUAAGCAAGAUCCCUGUGGGACGCCGUGGGUCACAGAUUUAAAGAUCGGAACCACUCUGGCUAUCUUCAGUGAAGAUGGGAAUAUACCAAAUUGAAGGGAAUUAUUGAAAAACUCUGUUAGACAUGGAGAUAUGAUGUCCACAGCAUACUUGAGGAAAUGACAGGGAAUGUUGUCUACCCCCACUGCCUUACCCGCCUUAAGACUCAAAAUUUCAGUCGCCAAUUCGAUUACUGUAGCUGGACUCAGAAAUAUGGAUUGAUUUAUUCGUUUGCCAAGAUACAUUUUAAAACCGACCAUAUCAUUAGAGAAUUUACCAGAGAGGCUGGACCCAACAGUUGAAAAGUACUUGUUGAAUUCUUGUACUAUGAAAUGACUAUCCCUAAUGAUGCAGCCGUUAUCAAGAUGAAUUUCAUCAACAUUAUGCCUCAAUUUAUUCUUUCUGGAGGUAAUCUGAUUAACGAUUCGCCAUGUAGACUUUGGGUUGCCUUUGUUUUGAGCGAUCAGGUUUUGAUAAUACAAUUGCUUUGCAUUGUCAAUUGUAUGCGUCAGUAAGUUACGAUACUUUUUAAAAAAUGAGCAUUGGGAACUAUUGCCCUUCAGGUAGUGGGUUUUGAACAUCUUAAGCCUGUAGCGAAUACUAAUAAGUAUUCCUUUGGAAAUCCAUGGCUUGGGUUUUAU